ACCUGGGACAGCUCAGUUGGUAGAGCACGAGGCUCUCAAUCUAAGGGUUGUAGGUUCAAGAAACCCCACAUUGGGCA